UACGAAGGGGGCUAGCGUUGCUCGGAAUCACUGGGCGUAAAGGGCGCGUAGGCGGAUCUUUAAGUCGGGGGUGAAAGCCCAGGGCUCAACCCUGGAAUUGCCUUCGAUACUGGAGAUCUUGAGACCGGAAGAGGUAAGUGGAACUGCGAGUGUAGAGGUGAAAUUCGUAGAUAUUCGCAAGAACACCAGUGGCGAAGGCGGCUUACUGGUCCGGUUCUGACGCUGAGGAGCGAAAGCCAGGGGAGCAAACGGG
rnacentral:rRNA from 1 species